UACAGAGGUCCCGAGCGUUGUUCGGAUUCAUUGGGCGUAAAGGGUGCGUAGGCGGCUUUCUAAGUUUGAUGUGAAAUCCUGGGGCUCAACCCUGGAACUGCAUUGAAUACUGGGAGGCUAGAGAACUGGAGAGGAGACUGGAAUUUACGGUGUAGCAGUGAAAUGCGUAGAGAUCGUAAGGAAGACCAGUGGCGAAGGCGGGUCUCUGGGCCGAUACUGACGCUGGAGGAGCGAAAGCGUGGGGAGCGAACAGG
rnacentral:rRNA from 1 species